rnacentral:rRNA from 1 species
AUGGAUCAACUGUGGUUAAGCUUGUGUCUCAUAGCCUCGUCCACGCUACUGGCCCUCUGGUUUCACAAUAGGAGUACGCCCAAGAAGAGGUUGCCUCCUGGGCCAUGGACUCUGCCCAUCAUCGGCAGCCUCCACCACUUGGUUGGCGUCCUCCCACACCGCACCAUAAUGGAGUUGUCUCGUCGGCAUGGGCCGCUGAUGCUCCUACGGCUGGGCGAGGUGCCCACUGUGGUGGUCUCCGACGCCGAGGCGGCGGCGCUGGUGAUGAAGACCAACGACCUCGCGUUCGCAAGCCGGCCAUGCAGCCCCACGCAGGAGAUAUUUGGUUGCGGCGGAAAGGGCAUCCUCUUCGCCCCCUACGGCGACCACUUGCGCAAGAUGCGUAAGGUCUGCAACGUGGCGCUCCUCAGGUCCCAACAGGUGAAGCGAAUGGAGGCUAUCCGGGCGGAGGAGGUCGGCAACCUUCUCCACUGCAUCACCCCCGCAGCCUCGACCGGCACCACCAUCAAUCUUAGCGACAAGGUAGCCAAGCUCACAAACCAUGUCGUGUCGCGGGCAGUCUAUGGCGGGAAAUUCACACAGCAGCAGCAGGAGGAGUACCUCCAUGAAUUGGGCAAGGCUUUUGAGGUGCUGGGCGGCUUCUAUCUUGUUGACUUGUUCCCGUCGUGGCGGCUAGUGCGGUGGCUCAGCAGCGGCGAGAGCCGGAUUAGUAGGAGCUGUGGCCGAAUCCAGAAAAUCAUCACCGACAUCAUCGAGGAGCGCCAGGCGGUGCAAGCUGCUGGCCAUGGAGGCAGCGAUGAGGACCUGCUGGACGUACUGCUCAGGCUGCAGAAGGAGGACACGAUGGAAUUCCCUCUAACCACAGAGAUCAUCCGUGGCGUCUUGUUUGACAUGUUUGGAGGUGGCACCGAGACCUCGGGAACAGUUUUGGAGUGGGCUAUGUCGGAGCUCGUUCGCCAUCCUGAAGCCAUGGCCAAAGCACAGCUAGAGAUCCGAGAUGUGCUAGGUCAAGACCGAGCUAUCAUUACUAACAGCGAUCUUGGUGAACUCCAAUACAUGCGGAUGGUCAUUAAGGAGUCUCUUAGGUUGCAUCCACCCUCUCCUCUUGUCCACAGCGCCGCCAGAGAGGAUUGUACAAUUAUGGGCUAUGACGUGAUUAAAGGCAACAGCGUACUUGUUAAUAUUUUUGCAGUUUGUAGGGAUCAAAAGUAUUGGGAGAAUCCCGAAGAGUUCAUACCUGAGAGGUUUGAGAACAAAAAAAUUGAUUACAACGGGACAUCCUUUGAAUUCACCCCCUUUGGGGCAGGGCGGAGACAGUGCCCCGGGAUUUCAUUCGCCGCAUCAACCAUAGAAAUCACACUGGCAAACCUUCUCUACCAUUUUGACUGGAUGCUUCCUGGUGGGAAGACUGCAGAGUCAAUUGACAUGUCUGAAAGAUUCGGGAUCGCUGUAUUAGGAAGAAAAUAUGCCCUACAGCUCAGAGCUAUUCCACAUGUAUGCUCCAAAUCAACCAAUAUAUAG